rnacentral:rRNA from 1 species
GACGAACGCUGGCGGCGUGCUUAACACAUGCAAGUCGAACGGAAAGGCCCUGCUUUUGUUGGGUGCUCGAGUGGCGAACGGGUGAGUAACACGUGAGUAACCUGCCCUUGACUUUGUGAUAACUUCAGGAAACUGGGGCUAAUACCGGAUAGGAGCUCCUGCUGCACGGUGGGGGUUGGUAAGUUUCGGCGGUUGGGGAUGGACUCGCGGCUUAUCAGCUUGUUUGUGGGGUAGUGGCUUACCAAGGCUUUGACGGGUAGCCGGCCUGGGAGGGUUAACGGGCACAUUGGGACUACGAUACGCACCAGUCUCCUACGGGAGGCAGUAGUGGGGAAUAUUACACAAUGGGCGGAAGCCAGAUGCGGAAACGCCGCGUGCGGGAUGCUGGGCUUCGGGUUGUAAACCGCUUUCGCAUGUGCCGAAGCGUGCGUGACGGUAAUGGGUCAAGAAGCACCGGCUAACUACGUG